rnacentral:rRNA from 1 species
AUUGAACGCUGGCGGCAUGCCUUACACAUGCAAGUCGAACGGCAGCACGGGUGCUUGCACCUGGUGGCGAGUGGCGAACGGGUGAGUAAUACAUCGGAACAUGUCCUGUAGUGGGGGAUAGCCCGGCGAAAGCCGGAUUAAUACCGCAUACGAUCUACGGAUGAAAGCGGGGGACCUUCGGGCGUCGCGGUAUAGGGUUGGCCGAUGGCUGAUUAGCUAGUUGGUGGGGUAAAGGCCUACCAAGGCGACGAUCAGUAGCUGGUCUGAGAGGACGACCAGCCACACUGGGACUGAGACACGGCCCAGACUCCUACGGGAGGCAGCAGUGGGGAAUUUUGGACAAUGGGCGAAAGCCUGAUCCAGCAAUGCCGCGUGUGUGAAGAAGGCCUUCGGGUUGUAAAGCACUUUUGUCCGGAAAGAAAUCCUUGGCCCUAAUACGGUCGGGGGAUGACGGUACCGGAAGAAUAAGCACCGGCUAACUACGUG